GAUAAACGCUGGCGGCGCACAUAAGACAUGCAAGUCGAACGGACGACUUUAACUUGUUUUACUUGUUAAAGAAGUUAGUGGCGGACUGGUGAGGAACACGUAAAUAAUCUGCCUAUAAGAGGGGAACAACAGUGAGAAAUCACUGCUAAUACCGCAUAAUUCAUAUUGCUCGCAUGAACAGUAUGGAAAAGGAGCAAUCCGCUUAUAGAUGAGUUUGCGUCUGAUUAGCUAGUUGGUGUGGUAACGGCAUACCAAGGCGACGAUCAGUAGCCGUGCUGAGAGGCAGAACGGCCACAUUGGGACUGAGAUACGGCCCAG
rnacentral:rRNA from 1 species